rnacentral:lncRNA from 1 species
CCAGCACCUGUCCAGUGAAACAACUUGAUAAUCGUUUCGAGGGGCGUCCGCCGGGUUAGGAAGCCACUGCCUGGCAGCUUGUGGAAGCCUCAUUUGCAAAGCCACCCCUCAGAUGUUUUGAAGAUCGUGACGUCUUGUAACUAGCAGUGUGUGCACAGAAUCCUACUCAAGGAACGUCUUGGCCCAGCGAUGCAAAGAACUGAAGUUUCAAGCUGGAAGAGCCUGUAUUGUCCUCACAAUAGUAUAGAAGAAUUCAAGAGAGGAGAGAGAGACAGCACCGAAUGAAGACUGUAAAAGAAAAGAAGGAAUGCCAGAGAUUGAGAAAAUCUGCCAAGACUAGGAGGGUAACCCAGAGGAAACCGUCUUCAGGGCCUGUUUGCUGGCUAUGCCUUCGAGAACCUGGGGAUCCCGAAAAAUUAGGGGAAUUUCUUCAGAAAGACAAUAUCAGCGUGCAUUAUUUCUGUCUUGCUGGGUGCAGUGGCUCACGCCUGUAAUCCCAGCACUCUGGGAGGCCGAGGCAGGAGGAUCUCUUGAACCCAGGAGUUCAAGACCAGCCUGGGCAACCUUGUCUCUACA